rnacentral:lncRNA from 1 species
UCCAUUGGGUCAGUAUCCAACUCACCAAUUCAAAAUACCGAACUCACAAAGCCCACACAAUUCCUCAAAAUCGGUUUCCCAAAACCGAUCAUCGUAACUGGCCGGAAGUCCCGAAAAUCACACCAGGACGCCGUCGGGACCUUCUAAGUGUCCCGAAACUCACCGACUCGUGCCACGAGUCACUCGCUGCCACAAAACAUAUCGAUUU